rnacentral:misc_RNA from 1 species
GGACCCCAACACUCAAGCAAAUACAUUCCUAGUCCACAGAACUUCUCUAUCUUUUCUCAAAUUUUUGUAACAAAUGGAAAUGUCUAGCAAAAUUGCAUGCUUUAUUGUUUUGUGCAUGAUAGUGGUUGCACCCCAUGGAGAAGCACUAAGUUGCGGCCAGGUUGAAUCUGGCUUAGCUCCAUGCCUCCCUUAUCUUCAGGGAAAAGGCCCUCUAGGAGGGUGUUGUCGUGGAGUUAAGGGUCUAUUGGGCGCAGCCAAGACCCCCGCGGAUCGAAAGACAGCAUGCACUUGCCUCAAAUCAGCUGCUAAUGCUAUUAAAGGCCUUAAUCUAGGCAAAGCCGCUGGUAUACCUAGUGCUUGUGGCGUAAGCAUUCCUUACAAGAUCAGCCCUUUUACUGACUGCUCGAAGGUUCAGUAAGGUUGAUGAAAGUUCAAUUUUCCAAGGCAUAAUUGGGGAAAAAUAAGACGGAUAUAUCUAUCGAUCGAUCGAGUUUAAUCCAUCAUUUUAUAAUAUGUUGUCUCUUUUAUUUUGUAUUUUUGUUUGUUGGAGUACUUAUAUGUUGUCGAGUAUUGUAAUGAACUUUGGUGGUUGGUUGUAUUACAACCCAAUCUUCAUAGUAAUAUAUAUACAUCAUAUUUUACUUUUUUUUUUCUUUCUUUUCUCUCCCCCUCUCUUUCUAUUUCGCUGUACUUCCUUAUAUUCUGCAUACCAUUUUUAAACCAGGCAGCACAACAAUUUUUUUAUUUUAAUUGUUUUAUUAGAUAUGUUUGUUGUUUUUUUUUUUGGAAUAUGUGUAUUGUUAUACGCAUUUUGUUAUAUGAGUAUCGUGAAUUUGUGAUAUGAUUUUUAUUUAGGCUAAUAUCAUGACAAUUUUUUCUUUACUUCCCCUAAUUGUUUAGGCUAAAUGAAAAUAUCGAGCACUAUUGGAAUCUUGGUUUAGGCUAAUUUAUUUAGAUCCUUAUAGUUAAUUUUGAAAUGGUUUAGGUCCUAUUAAUUGGAUAAUUGGAGCAUGGGUAAUUGUCAAUUGUGAUAUGCUUUUUAUUAAAUGGGUUGUAUUUGCCAUGGAUUCUUCUAUAUGUCACCUACUUCUAUAUGCGAAAACCAUUAAUUUAUCAUUCAUGAUAGUGCCAUUGAAACUUUAGUGAUCUUGAAUUUAGUCCCAUGCAACCUAUAAUUCUGCCUAAUUGCAAAUAAUAUGUUUUUUUGUUCUUUCUAAUAUGCUUUUUACUUAUUAAACUAGUUAGAAGUAUGAAUUUUUAUGUUAAAAGUGUGUGCACGUGCGUGUAAUUUUGGCAAUUUAGGCUAUGGCACUUCACUUCAAAAAGGCCCUCGCCUCUCGCCUAAGGCAAUAGAAUACUCUAUCGCCUUAGUGUCGCCU